rnacentral:rRNA from 1 species
GAAAGAUCCAGAGAUGGUGAUGCCCUUCGGGGUCUCUGUGAAGGUGCUGCAUGGUUGUCGUCAGCUCGUGCCGUGAGGUGUCGGCUUAAGUGCCAUAACGAGCGCAACCCCUUUCCCUAGUUGCCAUCGGUUUUGGCCGGGCACUCUGGGGACACUGCCUCCGCAAGGAGUGAGGGAGGUGGGGAUGACGUCAAAUCAGCACGGCCCUUACGUCCGGGGCUACACACGUGUUACAAUGGGUGAUACAGAGGGCCGGCCGCUGGCAACAUCGGUCCAAUCCUUAAAGUCAUCCUCAGUUCGGACUGGGGUCUGCAACCCGACCCCACGAAGCUGGAUUCGCUAGUAAUCGCGCAUCAGCCAUGGCGCGGUGAAUACGUUCCCGGGCCUUGUACACACCGCCCGUCAAGCCAUGAAAGCCGGGGGCGCCUGAAGUCCGUGACCGCGAGGGUCGGCCUAGGGUGAAACCGGUGAUUGGGGCUAAGUCGUAACAAGGUAGCCGUACCGGAAGGUGCGGCUGGAUCACC